GAUGAAGAACGCAGCGAAAUGCGAUAAGUAGUGUGAAUUGCAGAAUUCAGUGAAUCAUCGAAUCUUUGAACGCACAUUGCGCCCUUUGGUAUUCCAAAGGGCAUGCCUGUUCGAGCGUCAUUUGUACCCUCAAGCUUUGCUUGGUGUUGGGCGUCUUGUCUCUAGCUUUGCUGGAGACUCGCCUUAAAGUAAGUGGCAGCCGGCCUACUGGUUUCGGAGCGCAGCACAAGUCGCACUCUCUAUCAGCAAAGGUCUAGCAUCCAUUAAGCCUUUUUUUUCAACUUUUGACCUCGGAUCAGGUAGGGAUACCCGCUGAACUUAAGCAUAUCAAUAAGCGGAGGA
rnacentral:misc_RNA from 1 species